rnacentral:rRNA from 1 species
ACUCCUACGGGAGGCAGCAGUGGGAAUAUUGCACAAUGGGCGCAAGCCUGAUGCAGCGACGCCGCGUGGGGAUGACGGCCUUCGGGUUGUAAACCUCUUUCAAUAGGGACGAAGCGCAAGUGACGGUACCUAUAGAAGAAGCACCGGCCAACUACGUGCCAGCAGCCGCGGUAAUACGUAGGGUGCGAGCGUUGUCCGGAAUUACUGGGCGUAAAGAGCUCGUAGGUGGUUUGUCGCGUUGUCCGUGAAAUCUCACAGCUUAACUGUGAGCGUGCGGGCGAUACGGGCAGACUGGAGUACUGCAGGGGAGACUGGAAUUCCUGGUGUAGCGGUGGAAUGCGCAGAUAUCAGGAGGAACACCGGUGGCGAAGGCGGGUCUCUGGGCAGUAACUGACGCUGAGGAGCGAAAGCGUGGGGAGCGAACAGGAUUAGAUACCCUGGUAGGCUCUG